UACGGUAGGGUGCAAGCGUUAAUCGGAAUAGCUAGGGCGUAACGUGCGCAGGCGGUUGUGCAAGACAGAUGUGAAAAUCCCCGGGCUUAACCUGGGAAUUGCAUUGUGACUGCACGGCUAGAGUGUGUCAGAGGGGGUAGAAUUCCACGUGUAGCAGUGAAAUGCGUAGAUAUGUGGAGGAAUACCGAUGGCGAAGGCAGCCCCCUGGGAUAACACUGACGCUCAUGCACGGAAAGCGUGGGGAGCGAACAGG
rnacentral:rRNA from 1 species